GGCUUCUUGAACGUCGAAUAAUAAAAGAUAAUAGUAUAGAAAAUUACUCAUAUAUGAACCUCAAAAAGAAUCCGUAAGGGUGUGAUAAAGUUGUCUCCGUUUCAGAUUUCGACGGAUACAAAAAACGGGAAAAAUACAUAUUAAACAUUCUACCUCCGGAAGCCAUGUUAGAUGACAGAUACAACUUCUAGCAGUUAAAUGUUGGCUAUUAAAAACAUAUAUAAAUUCAUGUUGUUCUUAUUUUCGUUAGAGGUCAUUAAAAGUAGAAAGCUGAUCUUUUUAGAUCCUUUAUUGAUCCUUUGAAUAAAAUUAUUCAUAAAUGUUUCAAUUUAAAACUGAAAUGAAAUAUUGGAAAUUUUGUUUUUAUCGGUACUAACAACAGUUUUGUUUUUUGGUACUUUAUUCCGCCUUUUUAAUAUUUUUUUUAUUCGAACGUCAUUGAUGAGUCUUUUGAAGACGAAACACACGUCUGGCGCAAAUAUAAAAUUUCAAUCCUGGUAUCUAUGAUGAGUUGAUCUUAUAUAUGAUCUCUAUGUGUCGUCUCAUAGAGACAUAACUUGUGACUGUUACCAGUAUAAAAACAUAUUUUUACGGUGAAAAAUGUAUUAUGAAGUCGGCAAAAAGUAAAGGAAGGGGUAGUACAUAAUUUUAAUAUAAGUUUAAACUUUAACAAUGUCAGAGCAAUUAAUGUUGAAAACAUGCAGCACAGCCCUCUGUUUUGACAUUUGAAUAUAAUAGUCGUGAUAUUAACUUUCCAUUCUAUGAUAUAUUUUUUUUACGAAACUUCGUAGUAAUAAAAUCAACGGUACCAAUUUUGUUGCACCAGAUGCGCAUUUCGAC
rnacentral:lncRNA from 1 species